ACUGGCCCGUAGCCAGGGGGGAUCGGAGGGUUCGUUCGAUCCCCCCCCCGCGACACCGCGCCCCGGACACACACGCCUCAAGAUUACUCAAGAUUUAUUCAUUUGUUCAUGUCCGAUGAAUAUACAUUGAUUCACAUUUAAAUUUACAAUAUCAAAUCCAGACUAAUCAAAAAAGAAAAGUAGACUAAGUGAGGACGAGUUAGAAAAACGGGUUCAUUUCUCCUAUGUUUAUGUUUACACGUUUUGUUCAGACUGCUUUACACCCCAAUCCAGUGGGUGGCGGUAAUGCCCCCAUUAGACCCCUUUCACUGACGUCACCCGAAACCGGAAGUAAACAAACCCUGCGCCACAUUGGAAGACCAACAAACUCGUGAUUUGGGGGAAAUAAAGGCAGCGCGCGGUAUGUGAACCCACGAGGCACUUGGUUCAUCAUAAACCUACAAUGGUAAACUUUUGUGCUGUGUUAGGGUGUUCUAACAAAGCUGAUGGGAAAGGUGAAAAGAAGUCUUUCUACAGAAUACCAGCUGUGAUUGAGACACAAGCAAACCAAGGAGCUUUCUGCCAGGAGACAGAGAGAGGAUUUAGCUGCUUUAUGCAGAGCGGAUCUGAAUACUUCAAGUCUAUUUUGUUACUGGUCUGCGCCGCAGGAGGAAUAGGCCACAAUUAUAAAUAAAUCAUAAAAUGUUUCUAAGAA